GAGACUCUGUGCGCGUGCAUAUCAAUAAGCGGAGGAAAAGAAACUAACAAGGAUUCCCCUAGUAACGGCGAGUGAAGCGGGAAGAGCUCAAAUUUGAAAUCUUAAAGGGUUUCCCUUUACGAAUUGUAGUUUAAAGAAGUGUUUUCUGUUGGAGUUUCGGUAAAAGUUCUUUGGAAUAGGACAUCAUAGAGGGUGAGAAUCCCGUAUUUGACCGUUACUUUCCAGCUGUGUGAUACACUUUCAAAGAGUCGGAUUGUUUGGGAAUGCAGUCCAAGAUGGGUGGUAAAUUUCAUCUAAAGCUAAAUAUUGGCGAGAGACCGAUAGCGAACAAGUACCGUGAGGGAAAGAUGAAAAGAACUUUGAAAAGAGAGUUAAACAGUACGUGAAAUUGUCAAAAGGGAAGCGUUUGACACCAGUGUUGUUUAGUUGAAAAUCAAUUCAAUAGUUUUUGAUUCUAAGUAGUAUUGACUUCAUCAGCUUGCUGCUUUCUUCUCAGAAAUUAUUGAAUGCACUUUUCAGUUAACAAGUCAACAUCAAUUUCUUUUGUUGUAAAAGGGUAAGAGGAAGGUGGCUUGCGCUUCGGCUCAAGUGUUUAUAGCCUUUUAUCUCUGCAAUCGGAGAGAUUGAGGUCUGCAGCGUAGAUCCUUCGGGGUUAGAUACAUUGGUGCUAAGCUAUAGCCUUGUAUAGACAACUUGUUGACUAUGCUCAGUCAUGUAGCUUACUCGCUGAUGCUAUUUUACCUACGCUUAGGAUGUUGACGAUCAGCUGAGCGCG
rnacentral:rRNA from 1 species